CUGGGUUUGCUUUUCACAAGAAGCAUUGCCUGAUGUGAAUGAUGCCUCGCACAAAAGAGCUCUCAGAAGACCUACGAUUAAGAAUUGUUGACUUGCAUAAAGCUGGAAAGGGUUAUAAAAGUAUCUCCCAAAGCCUUGCUGUUCAUCAGUCCACGGUAAGACAAAUUGUCUAUAAAUGGAGAAAGUUCAGCACUGCUGCUACUCUCCCUAGG